UACUUCAUGUACCGAGGAGCAGUCUACGUGGUAAUGUUCCUGUGUACCCCUUUCCAGACGGGGGGCGAGAAGGGGCCACCGGCCCACGGGCCAGCGGUAGGAGAGGCACACGUCGCCGAGAGGGGGAGAGGGGGGACCGAGAGGCGUUCACCCAAAGAGGGGAGGGAGGAGAGGCGACGGCCAAACGCCAGCGUAGAGGACGAGGACCAUAGAACCCAACACGAGGACUACCCCUCGAGAGGUAGAGGGAGAGGGAGAGGAAGAGGCAGAAACCGACGACACCGAAGCAGCGGCCACCGCCGCAGCCGCCCCGGUCGUCAACGGGGCACAUGGGAUCUAGGUCUAGAGUUACGCCACCGGAGGCCGGACGCCCGGACGGGAGGCACACCCGGACUACCCGGAUAGCCCCGCCACAACCGAUCACCCGGAGGGGGGGAGGAAAGAAGCCACCAGCUAAAAGGGGGCGAGCAAAGAAAACCGGGUCAACCCGGGUUGUGGGCCGAUGGCCGAGGGGUAGGAGGAAGCCGGGUAAACCGCUCAGUCCGGGUCCCCCCGUGCCGAGCGAGCCCGAUAUAUACCUAGGGUGCGCCAAGCCGCAGGGGGGACGAUCCCAAAGGACGAAGGCGGAGACUAAACGCGGCGAUAGCGGAAGGGUAGGCAGCGCAGAAAUCUAGGGGAGGUGGGGGUAGGGAGGAAGAAAGAAAACGACGCCACUAGAGGUACCUGUUUAGAUCCCCGAGAAGGACGCUCCGCGAAAGACCAUCGUUCGCCGCGGCGCUCCUGAGGGGGCGGAGGCGCCACCUCGAUCUCCGGAGCGAGGCGAGGUUCGACCUCAGCCUCCUACCCCACUGACCUAGACCAGGCGUCCCGAGACCUAGACCACGAAGAGGGAGAGGCCACGACCUAGGCACCCUCCGCCGCCACCGGAGGCCGCCACCCCAUAGAAACAGGAGCCGAAGGGAAGGAUGAGUCCCACGCCCCGCCCCGAGCAAACGGGGCAGAGCCGGGGACGGAGGAGACGGAGGAACGCGCAAACCCCGACCUAGACCAAAAGCAGGCGGCGGAACGAGGAAGCGCCCCGGCCGCGCAGCCGGUGGACCAGGCCGGAGCCCCCGCGGGGAGGGAGGCCCGUACCCCCUACCCUAGGAAGGAGGAGGAGGCCGCGUAGUCGUUGGGGCGGGGAGGGGAAGGAGGGUGUCGUUGGGAAGCCGCGAGUGGACAAAACGGACGGUGUCUGGCCCCGUGAAGGUCAGAGCGACGUGGUUGGGGGGUAAGACGAACUAAACGGCAAGACUACCAGUGGAGUGCCAGUUGACGUACCUAUCCGUCUUCGGAGGGCGCCAGAAGGUCAAACCAUACCCGGAGGGACCAACGAGAAAGAAACGGAAACUACCACUGGACGGACAAGCCCUCCACCGUGGACGCGACAGGUUACGCCGCUAACAGAGACAGUUCCUGGUUUUCUAGAGCGGGGUUUGAGAAGACCUUCCCGAGGCGUAAACCCUACACCGACCAACCCUGACCGUUCAACACGUCGAUAGCCUGAAACUGAAGAGACACCACAAGGGGAGGUUUCUUACGGACGCAUACUAGCGAAGGACGUGGUCAAAGUGGAACGGGGAAUUGGUUGACCACCAAAGACAAUUUCGCCGAAGUAUGUUACCAUGACGCCAACCGGGAGAGAGGGUUCACACCCACAACUAGCUACUAGACGGCCGACCGGACGCGAGCAGACGAAAAGAGUACAGGAAACCCCAAGACUAACCAUUUGGGUAACUCCACCUACUCCUCAGAGACUUGUUCCAACCAGGACGAUCCUACUUCUGACGCCCACGCCCACCUCCCCCGCCGCCGCCGAAAGGUUCGAGGUGGAGGGGGGGAGGGAGACAAUUAGGAAGCUUAUUCGUACUAUUCGUACUGUUCCUUCCCCUACCAAGGAAACCACCGGGAUUAGUCUCGAAACCCAGAUCAAAGGCGAAGUGAGUUAGGCUUACCCUACCUGACCGUCUGAGUCUUGCCCUCAACAAAGUUAGAGUUCGCGGACUACCACUACGGGGAGCACUACUGAGCCACUAGGGGGGACGACGAGUCUUACGAGGACGAUGACGGCGACUAGACGGUUUCCGAGGCGGAACGAGCCGGUGAGGAUACAGACCACGAACGAGGUGAGAAGGACGAGCGGGAGAGAGGGGGUGGGCGAGCCCUUAACUUCCAGAAGGACAGAGAGGACGAGCACUAUACUACCUUAGGGUCGGGGGGAGCUUCUUCUUUAGGAGUCACGCGUUCAUGAGCCGAUUCUCGGCCUUGAGCAGCCCGAGCUUCGUUAGUUACUGCCCCUAAACGGCCGCAGAACUAGUUCUAGACCCGAGGUACAGGGCGAGCCCGGGGGUACAACCGAGAGGACGACACGCCAGCGGACGGUAGGCAAGGGGCCACAGGUGCCGGGCAUUUCCAUCUGUCCACCGCGUGAGACCACCAAGAUAGGACCUUGCCCGCCUCUUCGCCCAACGCCGCUUCCUGGAGGGAGGGGGUCCAUGGAGGGGUAGGAGUAAACGGCGACAAAGAGGCCAAGCCCACCAAAAUAGAAGCUACAGACUACUAGUAGAAAAUUUGUAAUACAGCCUACACCCACACCACCAGCUAAGAAGACAACCAAGAGGAUCAAGCGAAGAACGGUAAUAAGCUCGAUUACUUAACCGAGUCCGUCGGUAACGCUUUCGGUUUCUCCAACAACGGAGCGCCCAGCGCCUGCGACCGAUACGACGCCCCCUCCGAAGCCCACGACCAUCACCGGUCGGGGGAAGGACAGGACGGUUCUCCCCGCGAUUAUUUGCAAGAUUUAGGACGUACCGGGGGACGUCCCCCAAGCCAUGAUCCCCCGCGGCACUGGUUGAAUUUCUAAACCAAGCAAGAUUGAGAUAACUAAAACACCCCGACCAACUUUGAAAAUUCCUAAGGAAGAGGGGAUCACUCGAGAGACGAUAGCACCGGUUACGAAAAUUACUGAAGUAAUCACGAUUGCGGUAAGCACUCGAAGGAGCCCCCCCUCGAGCGAAAUGAACCAGAUUAGUAGUCCGAUUGGGAUAAUCUAGGCACGACCUAGCACAAAAGGAACCAGGGUCCACCCUACGGGACAAGGGAUCCAGAAUAGAAGAGCGAUUUACGUAACAGCCCAGACUAGUAUGGGGGAACUAAGAACUGCUACCAAGGUAGACGUUAUCUGGAGGCCGAUCUAAAGUCAAACUACGAAGAACCGACAGCCAACUGCCGAAACAGCUAUACCAGCGACGCUUUUAAAGGGUGAGGGAAAGGAGGUUGGAGGCGAGGAAACCGGGAGACCUACUGACCGUAAGAACGAGGAUAAGGGAAGCGUUUAAAGAAUCUCCCACCAGCGCAUUGGUACGCCGCCUCCUAGCUGCGAGGUUUCGGAGAGAACUUUUAGUCUAGGACCUCGACCUAGCAUGACGACUGAGAUAACCCGAGAGACUGUUACCUACCCGGCAAGCAAUAUUAGACCUCCGACGUGAAAACGUCGACGUGGUAGUCCGACUCUAAAUGACCGCGGUCUCCCCGUGAGAAUUAACCUGUGAGUUUCCCCUGCGAGGAUGACGUAUAAAAAAACGCUAACGCUUGCCAUCCGUAUCCACGACACUGUAAUUGUCAAACUACUAAUUACCAGACGCGAGGAGACUGGUCAGCCACUAAGAUCGAGUACAUCACCUAAAGAAGAGUAGAAACAAUCCCCGAUUUGGAGUUAGCCCGAACAGGUAAAGGGGGGUGGAAACCUCAAGACCAGAAUUUUAAAGGGGGCUCCUCUUACGGAGGAACUACUAGGGCGAGAGACUAGUCCUUUAGACCCUGCACCAAUUAAGACGAUUGGGGUUACGUCGUAGACCCGGUCUACCGAAAAGGUAAGGAAAGAAAGCCUCUAAAACCGGGGUUAACUUUGUCAACACCACCACCUUUUACUACUGACACCCCCCGCCCAGCGACACCAAAAGCUAAGAAUUCCGGUUUAUAAAGGGGGUGAGGCUAGGAUACAAACGAGGGCGCGCCGCACCAAGAGUCAAGACCUUUCGAGAACAAUUUCAAUUCGGCUAAAAAAACCUCGUACAGUUCAAAAGACACCCCUUACCCAGACGACAAGCAAAAACCAACCUAACCACCAGACCCCUACGGGGUGAACGGCACUCGAAGGGCCAAAACAAAAGAAUAACAGGGUUAGGCGUCUAGAGGUAGCGCCUCGACCGACGAUUAUUAACCCUAGACCGAAAGGCAGCCCGAGACAGAGGACUUCUCAACCUUCUAACCGUUUCGGAGAGACGGGAGAAGGGGCACGAGAGCCUCAGCCGACUGAGCCACAAAACCGGUGAAAGCCGGAGACCCCAACGUGAACGCCGACCGUGGCGUCGACAUCGGUACCACCCGGAGUGACCUGAACCGCCUGAGGAACUUAGUGUGGAAAGUCCGGGCUGCUGCCACCGCGGGGAGAAGAGGCGGUUCCAAUGAAACUCCCAGCAGGGCUGGGAGCCGAUGACCCCUUUCCGUAAAUGCCACAGUAGCCACGAAAGAAGAUUUCGUCGCUACGCACGGAGGGCAGGGAGUAGCGCGGGAAGCGAUCCCUCGACGGCGGGCAGCCCGGCAAGGAGGGCGUCGGAGGGCAGGCAGCAGCGCGGGAAGUGGCGCCCUCGACGGCGGGCAGCGCGGAAGGCGGCGUCCAGUGGCGCCCUCGGCGGCGCGGGAAGAGGCGCCCUCAGCAGGCUCGGCGAGUCGAACCUCAGGAGUUGACGGCAGCGCGUGUGUCCACUCUUCUCGCGUUGGGAUGUCAAAGGAUAACCCAACCCAUGGCAUGACUACCGACUACGCACACCGCCCAACCCUAACCCUACAUCCACCGCGCUGCCUCCCCCUCAAGCAGGGGAGGAGGAGUACGAGGCGGACUUAGCGCUACUCGCUUACACAACAGACUACGUCAACCACGGUUCCUAAGCUCUUCCACUUGAUUAUGGUUCUUGGUACAGCAGCCUACUAAGACCUUCUCUACCAGGACUAUCAGCUCUACUACCUAAUUAUUCUGACUCCCGCCCUCUUCCCUCCGGCCCGCCGCGGCUUCCGCCUCGAGACGACGCUCGUACCGUGUAAAGUCAUUCCAAGACGACACACAAGUGUAAUUAAGUCUUUAAGUCGUUUCCGAAUCUCCUUCCGCGACGUCGCACCUACGUGUACCCUACAACGUCCUUGUACUUGGACUACUACUGGGUAUCAACCUACAAACACUCUCAAUAUGAAAAAUAGGUACGGAGUUGUUAGCUGGUUUAAUUUGCUGUCCUACUUGUAAGUCUGAAAUAACUACUGACCCUAAGAUCCUUCUGGUAAUGUUUGAGCUGGUCGGGUGGACAGUAGCGUUCUGUUCGAUUUUACUAUGAAAAAAGAAGCCAGCAUUAGGGCCGCAGGAGGAGCGUAGUAAGACGGCAGCGACUGGUAGUAAUAAGCCGGCAUUAGGGUCGCAGGAGGACCGUAGUGGGACGACGCGGGGACCGGUUAACGGACCUCUAUGGUAGGUUCGCGCACACCGACGUUUUUUCAUUAGUCUCAACAAACUGAUAAACACGAAGACAUCAAGACAUGUUACAAAUAGGCGACUAGUGUUGGUAUCUCCAACGUCUACUCGUUUUACCCAAAACU
rnacentral:rRNA from 1 species